AUGGCAGCGCUGCGCCGCGGACAGCAGGGAGACCACGGGACGGCGACCGACGGCGCUAGGACUGGAAACGGCUGGAAGGUGGGCGCCGGCGCAGAAAAACUAGAGGAAGCAAGGGCGCCGGCUUGGAUCUACAGGAGGCCGAUGGAGGGGCGCCGCAAGAGGACAGGGCGACGCGGCUCUUCGCGAUGGGAGCAGCGGCGGCCGCCGCGAGGAAAGGAGGGGGCGCCGCUCCUCGUUGCUUCUGCCCUCGCUCUCUCGCUCCACCAGGCACCGGCAGCCCCCGGUCGCGCCCCUCCGCCGGCAGCUCCUCACCACGCUCCUCCACCGGCGCUCCCCAAUAUUGUAGGUUGCUCAAAGACUAAUGGAAGGAGAAGCUUGUUUAGCUCAAAGACUCACCGAAGGAGAAGCUUGUUUAGCUUGGGCUUGUUUAGCCUAAAGACUCACUAA
rnacentral:rRNA from 1 species